AUUGAACGCUGGCGGCAGGCCUAACACAUGCAAGUCGAGCGAGCGGCGGACGGGUGAGUACUGUCUGGGAACCUGCCUGAUGGAGGGGGAUAACUACUGGAAACGGUAGCUAAUCACGCAUACCAUCAGAUGUGCCCCGAUGGGAUUAGCUAGUAGGUGGGGUAAUGGCUCACCUAGGCGACGAUCCCUAGCUGGUCUGAGAGGAUGACCAGCCACACUGGAACUGAGAAACGGUCCAGACGCCUACGGGAGGCAGCAGUGGGGAAUAUUGCACAAUGGGCGCAAGCCUGAUGCAGCCAUGCCGCGUGUGUGAAGAAGGCCUUCGGGUUGUAAAGCACUUUCAGCGGGGAGGCGUUACCAGCAGAAGAAGCACCGGCUAACUCCGUGCCCGCAGCCGCGGUAAUUC
rnacentral:rRNA from 1 species